AGUAACUUACCCAUUACCCUAUAAACCUUGAGGUGAGAAUGGAAUGGGGCCAUUUCCCUAUUAGAUGGACCUCAGUGCAUUUGCAGUGACGAAGUGCUGGAUUAAUUUAUAGCUGACACUGAGCAUCGUUUAACAGCUGUCGUAUCUACAGGCUAAACUCUACACUCGCUGAAGAACAGUUAUUACGCGGCCGUAAAAAAGGUAAUGCAUUCACUGAGCAUCGAACCUGCUAUCCUGUCAGCGCCCACGACUCAAACGCGCCCAUUUAUCAGAGAAGUGCGAGCAUUUCUCAUUUAGAUGGAUUGCGCGGCUGAUAAUACUAAUACCUACCUCUA
rnacentral:lncRNA from 1 species